AUGCCAUCAAAGAGAUGGAGUUUCACUCUUGUUGCUCAGGCUGAAGUGCAGUGGCACUAUUUCAGCUCACUGCAACCUCCCUCUCUCCAGUUGAAGCGAUUCUUCUGCCUCAGCCUUACAAGUAGCUGGGAUUACAGGUAUGCACCACCAUGCCCUGCUAAUUUUGUAUUUUUUUAUUUAAUACUUUAUUGUGUUUUAGGUUUGGGGGUACAUGUGAAGAACAUGCAGGAUUGUUGCAUAGGUACAUACAUAGCAAUGUGGUUUGCUGCCUUCCUCCCCAUCACCUAUAUCUGGCAUUUCGCCCUAUGUUAUCCCUCCCUAACUCCCCACCCCUCACUGUUUCUCCCCUAGUUCCCCCCUACAGACCUCAGUGUGUGAUGCUGCCCUCCCUGUGUCCAUGUGUUCUCAUUGUUCAGCAGCUGCCUGUGAAUGAGAACAUGUGCUGUUUGAUUUUCUGUUCUUGUGUCAGUUUGCUGAGAGUGAUGGUUAGAGACGGGGUUUCAUCAUGUUGGUCAAGCUGGUCUUGGACACUGACCGCAGGUGAUCCACCUGCCUUGGCCUCCCAAAGUGUUGGGAUUACAAGUGUGAGCCACUGCACCUGGCACUUAUAGAAUUUUAUCUGUGAGUAAUUACCCAUACCUCUUCAUAAAAGACAAAUUUUCAUAUGCAUUAGGUCACAUAAAAUAUUUUUUGUAAUCGAUUUCACAUAACAAUGUAUGAAGAACAUCUUCUGACACUAAAAUAUCUCUAUCAGCAUUUAAAUAUGCAGAAGUAUUUUUUUUUUUUUUGAUACAGAGUUUCACUCAUGUUACCCAGGCUGGAGUGCAAUGGCACGAUAUCGACUCACCGCAACCUCCACCUCCUGGGUUCAGGCAAUUCUCCUGCCUCAGCCUCCUGAGUAGCUGGGAUUACAGGCACGUGCCACCAUGCCCAGCUAAUUUUUUGUAUUUUUAGUAGAGACGGGGUUUCACCAUGUUGACCAGGAUGGUCUCUAUCUCUUGACCUCGUGAUCCACCCGCCUCGGCCUCCCAAAGUGCUGGGAUUACAGGCGUGAGCCACCACGCCUGGCCUGCAGAAGUAUUUUUAAAUUUUCAAUUACUUGGUACUAAAUAACUACUACUCACUCAGUUUCCCCUUCAUAGCUUACAGAGAAAAGACUGUAGCACAUCAUACCUUUCAGGAGGUACAGAACGUAGAGCAAUAUUUUUGAAUUUCAUAAUUCUACUAAGAUAUAAAUUACAACUCUUGGACAUUGAUAGUCAUCUAUUCAUAUUAAUUUGGCCUGUGUACUUAUAUAAGCAAAAUAAGAUAAUAUCUGGGAACACAUUUCAAGCAAAUUUCUACUUUAUCAAUAAAUUGAAAAUGUGAUCACCA
rnacentral:lncRNA from 13 species